rnacentral:snRNA from 1 species
CUCGGGAGCUUUCCCCGGG